UUGAGCGAUUUACUUCGGUAAAGAGCGGCGGACGGGUGAGUAACGCGUGGGUAACCUACCCUGUACACACGGAUAACAUACCGAAAGGUAUGCUAAUACGGGAUAAUAUAUUUGAGAGGCAUCUCUUGAAUAUCAAAGGUGAGCCAGUACAGGAUGGACCCGCGUCUGAUUAGCUAGUUGGUAAGGUAACGGCUUACCAAGGCGACGAUCAGUAGCCGACCUGAGAGGGUGAUCGGCCACAUUGGAACUGAGACACGGUCCAAACUCCUACGGGAGGCAGCAGGGGGGAAUAUUGCACAAUGGGCGAAAGCCUGAUGCAGCAACGCCGCGGGAGUGAUGAAGGCCUUCGGGUCGUAAAACUCUGUCCUCAAGGAAGAUAAUGACGGUACUUGAGGAGGAAGCCCCGGCUAACUACGUGCCAGCAGCCGCGGUAAUACGUAGGGGGCUAGCGUUAUCCGGAUUUACUGGGCGUAAAGGGUGCGUAGGCGGUCUUUCAAGUCAGGAGUGAAAGGCUACGGCUCAACCGUAGUAAGCUCUUGAAACUGGGAGACUUGAGUGCAGGAGAGGAGAGUGGAAUUCCUAGUGUAGCGGUGAAAUGCGUAGAUAUUAGGAGGAACACCAGUUGCGAAGGCGGCUCUCUGGACUGUAACUGACGCUGAGGCACGAAAGCGUGGGGAGCAAACAGGA
rnacentral:rRNA from 1 species